CACUAAAGAAGCCUUCACUGAAUGGAUUCUGCAGUGAAGUACAAUUAAUCAUGUCGAUCUCAUAUAUUGAAGGGAGGUUGUCCAAUCCUGUAAUCUUGACCAGUUUUUGGCAAUUCCUAAGUUCAAGAGUUGUAAGGUACGCUAAAUUUGAUAUUGACGGGAGUGUUUGAAGAUUCUCCCAAUCAUUCAAACACAAGGACAUCAACAAGGGUAACUUGGAAAAAUCAAAGGGUACAUAGAGGAAACUAUUGCCGCUCAAAUCUAAACAAAGUAACAUGGAUAAUUUCCCAAUAUCCCUAGGAACAUCAAAACCACAAUAUGAAAGGCGUAGAAUCGAAAUAAAUUUUGACAAGGAUACUACGGGGAGUACUCUUGUUUGAGAAAACCUCCUUUUGGCCUCUAAAUUCCGACCUCUCACAUCCAAUCUCGUAAGAUUUCUUAACAUUUCAACAGAUCCAGGCAAUUGUUUUAUACCUGUAUGACGUGCACGAAGAAGUCUUAGGCUUUGCAUAUCUCCAAUGUCAACUGGCAGUGUUUGUAAAGAUGAGCAGUAACUAAUGUACAAAACUCUAAGGGAUUUUAGCUGGCAUAUGUUGCUCGGAAGUUCCGUAAUCUUUUCACAACCAUUCAGUUGAAGAUAAGUUAGUCUGUCCAAAUUUCCUAUUGAUGGAUGGAUCUCCUUCAGACUUGAGCAAUUCUCAAGCAGCAAAGUCUCGAGACUUCGUGAACCGUUUGAAGUUUUGGAGUUUUUCUGAGGCGCUUGCAAUCAGAGAGAUCCAGCAUUUUCAAAUUUCUACAACACUAAAAGUAAACAAAAUAUUGUUUCAAUUAAGAUUUUCUUUCUCUUAAACAUUACACAUAAAAUUGCAGAAUUGAGUAACGAACCUGCAAAUUCAAACCAAAUUCUUGGAUAUUGCUCCCUUUCAUAUUCAGAAAUACAAGUUUAUCAGAUGGAAAAUUUGAUGGUAUACAUUUUUAAAGGACAUCCUUUCCAAGACAGCCAUCUGAGCUCCUUGGACAAUAGCUCAAAAUCUCCACUAAUACGUAAGUCGUCGAUUUUAAGCACCCUAAGAUUUAUCAUUUUCUGAAAUGCUUUGGUGUUCAGCUUCACACCCUUUAAUGCAUGUCGUUCUACCACCAAUAUUUCUACAUUUUCAGAACCCUACAGUUUAGUAAGAAGAAAAGUACUAUAAGACCAUGUUAAGUAUGAUAAAUUAAGAAAGAGAAAUGCUUUAUACAAAUUGAAGGUCAAACAAAGAGAAUAAAUUAUGUACCAAUAAAAAUAAAUUUACACAUUAUAUCCAACUAAAGGAUAUUUAUUUGAUAAUUUUGUCUUUGAUAGUUUGUUUAGACUUCAGUAAAUGUUCAUUUCAAGUACAGAAUGGUUCAAACGUCUAAAGAUACUUACUAGCCGGAGAAGAUUUAAGCACAAAUGCAUAAAUUAUAAGCAAAUGUAUAUCAAUAUAAAAGAAAAAAAGAAGAAGAAGUAUAACCAAGAUAAAGAUAAUGAAAUUUACUGACUUUAUUUCCUUGUAGAACAUCAAUGACUUCUUGAGGGUUGAACAAUCUACUCCGUUUUCCAGGGUCUUGAGAUUCCAUGCGAACGAUUUCUCUUCCCAUUUCCUGCACUAGAUCAUGCAUCACCAAACUAUGCCGAUCCCUUUGGAGCAAGUUCCUUUGGACUAAGGUUGAAAUUGCACUUUCAGAAUAAAAACCACACGCAUUUAAUGUUUUGGUAACUUCAUCCUCAUACCAACCAUGGAAGGCACAUGCGAUAUCAAGGAAAACACUCUGAGUAUUGACAUCAAGUCCAUCAAAGCUUAUCUUGAGAAUCUUUUGAAUACCACCAUGAGGAAUUGCUUUUAGUUUUUUGAACUCGUAUCUCCAUUCUUUAACGGAUCUCCCUUGCAGAUGCGACCCCAAUGUCACAAGAGCUAAUGGUAGCCCGCAUGAAUAUUUUAUUAUGUCUUGUGCCAGAUCAACAUAUUCUUGUGGUGGAGAAAAACAGUUAAAAGCAUGACAAGAAAAAAGUUGUUGUGCUUCAUUGUCAUUUAAAAGUUUGGCCUGGUAUAGCUCACUUGUUGUAAGCCCAUAUAGCAAAUGCCCAUCUCGGGUUGUAAUAAUUACUACACUACCAAAGCCAAACCAACUUCUUUCUCUUGUUAAGGAUUCUAAUUGGCCUCUAUGAUCCACGUCAUCAAGAACAAUUAGAACCUUCUGAGACCCAAGUCUUGCUUUGAUGAGAUUAACACCUUCAGCAACACUAUCAACUUCAAAUUCCUUAGUUUUGAGGAUUUGAUUAAGUAGUUUCUCUUGAAGCUUGACUAGACCCGAUUCAUCGGUUUUUGAUCUAAUGUCAGAAAGGAAGCAACUACCAUCAAACUGUUGAAAUAUUUGAUUAUAGAUAGCUUUUGCCAAAGUUGUUUUUCCAAUUCCACCAACUCCACAUAUACCAACCAUGCGAACUUCAUGCUCACAUCCACUUUGCAGUAACACCUCUAUAUGUUUGAUAGGAGAAUCUAAUCCAAUUGGGUAAUGAGCAACAUCUAGAGGUGUCUGGUUAACCUCUUGCAGAACUUGUUUUAUAAUACUCUCAAUAAACUUUGAUUCAUGCCUACAGUUUUUGGAACAAUAAAUACUUGAGUAUUUUAAAAUAUUUGAUGAACAAAAUAAAAAUCAAUAGCCAAAAGAUAACAGAGUUUAUAGAAUGGAGAAUAUAUUCCUUGUCCCUAUCUAUAUAAAACAGUUUGAUUUGACAUAGAAUUUAAAAACUAUAGAAAUAUUUUGAAAUUUUCCAUAAUUAACCAACUUAUAAGAUUAGGCAAACGCUUAAAUUCAAAAUCUUAUAGUUGAAUUAAGAAGUCUUACCCAUCAGCAAUAUUUCUCAAAUUCCAUCCAGAUAAAUUUGCUGCUUCAGUAAGUGCAGCUUUCCACUUUUCCAUUCUUUCAGCUCCAACCAAUCGUUCCUUGUGUUUUCCAAAGCUUCGUCAAAGGAUCCAGUUUGCCUUCGCACUUGAGAAGGAUCAACAUCAUAGAAAAUAGGCAAAACUACCUGAUUUUAACCUCUCUUUGCAAUCGAGAAUUUUGACAAGUUCAUCAAGACACCAACUAGACGAAGCAUAAUUUUUGGAGAAAACAACAAUGGCAAUUCUAGAUUGUUCAAUUGCUUUGUCAAGUUUGUUUGAAAUGACGUCUCCCUUUCUCAAUUCCUCAUCAUCUAUGAAAGUAUUAACUCCGACUUGACACAAUCGAAAAUAAAAAUGACCUGUGAAGUUUUUGCGAGUAUCUUCACCUCUAAAACUCAGAAACACAUCAUAAGAGAAGUUGGAAGAAGAAGAUGAUUCUCCUUGAGUAUUCAUAUUUGAUGACAAUAUAUGGAAUAAUUAGGCGAUUUUUAGUUGAAUGAAAGAAAGAUGAGUGAAGCAGCUACAGGUAAUAAUUUGUUCCUGGAAACCCAAUUUUGGGUCAACUCAUUUACAAUCCCUAAAAAAGUUAAUCCCUAGAUAGUUCACGUGUCUAUAUUUUAAAAGUAGAUAUAUUGACAUAAAUUUAGAUGGUAAAAAGUACUCCUUUUCUCUUUAAUUAUUUCUUCAUUUUUAAUUUGAUAGACCUAUUAAGAAAACUGUAACUUGCAUCUAGUUAAAAAGAAUGUUGAAAUAUUGAGUUUUAUGAAUUUGAUUUUAUUUUACUUUCUACAAAAGUUGUGUGAUCAUUUGGUAAUGGCCAUUACUAUUGCUCAAAGUUUUUAAACAUGAAAUAUAACUAAUACGAUAAUAAUUUUAAUAUAGCUUACUAAAAUAUUCAAGAUAAUAAAUGGAGAUGAUUAAAGUUUUUGGUCAAAAUCAUCCUCAAACUAUAGUCUAGAUUUUGGAUACAUCCUUGCAUUAUUAUACUGAACGAAAAACAUCAUUCAUCUAUCUAAAAAGUUUCAAUAGUCAUCCUUCUGUUAAUUUUUGUCAAAAACUACCGUCAAAACAUGUGUCAAGCAUGUGGCUUUUCCUCUAAAUCUCCUAAUUUUAAUCGUCUUCUGCACUAUAUUUUGAGCUAUUGUACACUCCCUCCGAUCAUGUCUCCUCGAGAAGUACUUGUUAAAUUAUUCUAUUGUAUCUUAUAUUAACUUUAAUCAAGUAAAUUAUUACAAAGUAAGAUAUCAACUUAGAACAUGUUUUAACUGUAACUGUUAGAGGUCGUUUGGUAGAGUGUAUUAGGAAAAAUAACGCAUGCAUUAGCAUUGUGUAUUACUAGUACCUUGUUUGGUACUCUUUUCCAACCUAUGUAUAACUAAUGCUUGCAUUAGUUAUACACUCUGAUCUAUUGUGUAUUAAGGUGUGUAUUGCUAAUACCAUGGAUUUCUAGGUAUUAGCAAUGCAAUGGUUUUAAUGCAUGCAUUAGAUUAACUAAUGACAAAACUACCCUCUAAGCCUAAUAAUAAUAAUAAUAAUAAUUAUAAUAAUAAUAAUAAUUAUAAUAAUAAUAAUAAUUAUAAUAAUAAUAAUAAUUAUAAUAAUAAUAAUAAUUAUAAUAAUAAUAAUAAUUAUAAUAAUAAUAAUAAUUAUAAUAAUAAUAAUAAUUAUAAUAAUAAUAAUAAUUAUAAUAAUAAUAAUAAUUAUAAUAAUAAUAAUAAUUAUAAUAAUAAUAAUAAUUAUAAUAAUAAUAAUAAUUAUAAUAAUAAUAAUAAUUAUAAUAAUAAUAAUAAUUAUAAUAAUAAUAAUAAUUAUAAUAAUAAUAAUAAUUAUAAUAAUAAUAAUAAUUAUAAUAAUAAUAAUAAUUAUAAUAAUAAUAAUAAUUAUAAUAAUAAUAAUAAUUAUAAUAAUAAUAAUAAUUAUAAUAAUAAUAAUAAUUAUAAUAAUAAUAAUAAUUAUAAUAAUAAUAAUAAUUAUAAUAAUAAUAAUAAUUAUAAUAAUAAUAAUAAUUAUAAUAAUAAUAAUAAUUAUAAUAAUAAUAAUAAUUAUAAGUUGAAGAUAAACUAACAGAAGGAUGAGUAUGCAAUUUUUGGGUAAGAUAGAGGGAUGUUUCUUAUCCAUGAUUAUAUUAGAAUGAUGUACUUUAGAUUUGUGCCAUAGUUGAGAGAUGAUUUCAGUUAAAAAUUUAAAAUACUUUAAUUAAAAUUAAUACGAUUUCUUACCUACUUCCUAAUUGGGAACUUUGUAUUUAUGAUAAAGAAGUAUAAAAAAAUUAUCCCGAACCCAACCAAUAAAUGUUUUUUUAUAAAAUUUAGAACCUAUAGUUUUUUAAUCUUCCAGGGUCCCAUUUUUCUAUGGAUUGAAUCAUCAUAAUAUUUUAUGACAAAAUACUGUAAAAUGGUGUAUGAUUGUAUGGCAUAUAUACCAUUUGUAUAUUCCCCAAAAUCAAUGAUAACCAUUUGUCUCUAACUUUAAUUUUGAAUUGUACUAAUUGAAUAUAUUAAUUGUACAAUACACAUUUAUUUAGUUCAAAGAUUUCCUCUUUGUACUUUAAGCUUCGGAAUGUAUUGUUUUCCUCAUUUUAUGAAGUGUUAUUAGAAAAAAAAAAAAAAAAAGCAUAAUACAUAAACAUGUGAUAUUUAAAUUUGGUCUUAGUUAAAUUAUCCAAUUUAUAAAAUGAUCAUUUAGACUCUUCCAAAAAUUAUUUGUUACGUUAAUGUAGGAUGUCCAUGAGAUACAUUGAGGCCAAGUUGGAGUGUUUAGUUGUUAGUUGAUAGCAAGUUAAAAUAUCUAGACUUGCACUUUCAAAGUUAGAGACUGAUUUUAUGUUGUUUUUUAUUUGUGUGUCUAAUUAUGAUGUUUUAUUCAUAUGGUUUUGAUUUGUGAAUGAAUUUUGAUUUUGCUCAUGUUAUUGUUGAUGGAUUCAUUUUCAGUCACUACUUAAUUAGUUACUAGAUGUGGAUUAAGAUUUUGAGUUUGUAAAUUCUAGAUCACAAUCGAUCUUUUUUGAAGUUUGUUGGAAUGUCAUAACAUAAAUACAUGAUUUGAAUCAAAGUUAUUGAGUUUGAUCAAACCCGUAGAUCCUAUACACGGUGGAUGAGAGAAUUAGAAAUAAUUGGACAAAAUUCAUUUAGGAGUCAUUUGCAAAUGAGAUUGUAUUUGGAUGAGAAUUUUGAAUAUAUUACAUGUUGAUAGUAGUGUCUGAGGUGUUAUAUACAAAUACUUUUAGAACAAACUUUUUUCUUACAUAACGAACACAAAAAGCAAGUAAGAAACUGUAACAUCCGGUAAUUUGAAAUAACUAUGAAGAAGCUUGAAAUUGGAAAUAGUCAUUUUUGGAAAGAAUUCAAAAAUCUGGAAAUUUAGCUAAGUAUGGAAAAAGUGAGUUUUUGGUCAACUUCGAACAGUCAUAACUCCUAGCUCAGGAUGAGUUAGGUGUAUUUCCAGUUAUGUUUGCGAAUCCCUUGGAAUGAUCUUUCCAACGCCGCUGAGUUUGCUCGAUUCCGAGUUCGUAUGAGUGAGUUAUGCCCUUUGGAAGUUGGGCUGUUGGCAUAGGGAAGUUCAUCCGAAUUAGUAAGGGUAUUUUGGUCUUUUCCCUAACCAUUUCUUUUGGUUAUAUUAAGGGUCUAGGAUGAUAAAAAAAUCAGUUUUCCCUUUUAAAAGUGAGAGUUAGGGUUCUUGAGAGAAAAGGAGAGAAGAGGAGAAAGAGAAGAAGAAGCAAAGUUCGUCAAGAUCGUCGUGGUUUUCGUCGGGGGUGAUCCCUAUUAAGGUAUGUGAGAUCAUAGUGUUGGGUUGGUUCAUUCCCCCACACGCCAAACUCGUUUUAAUUUCCGAGAAAAGAUUGGUUGUGUUUGUUGAAGAUUUGGUUAUGUUUGUUGAAGUUUGUGCCUGGUUGUGUUUGUUGAAGUUUCUUGUUGGUUUGGUACAUGUUUCCGGUUGUGUUUUCGAGUUGAAUCUAUUGUAUGUUGAGGGGUUUUAGGAUUCUAAGUGUUUGGGGCUGGAACCUUUGAAGUUAAGGUUGUUUAGAGUUGGAAAAACAAGGGAGAAAAGUCGAGUUUUUUGGGGAAAGGGCUGGCGCGUUGAGCCAGCCAGCACGCCUAAAAAGGGAUUUUGAACUUCCACCCUUGGGGCGGCGCGCCAUGCAGAGCGCCCCACCAGCCCUUCUGAACUUUGAGGGCUGGCGCCCCGCGCCUCUCAGAGCGCCAAGGACGCCAAGUCUUCCCAUUCAUUCCCCACUUUUUCAUACAUGUUCCUUAGCAAUGUACCUAUGUUUUAUAGUUGUUUUCAACACUCCAAGGUACGUCUAAACAUCAAGAACUCAUCCAUAAACAUGAGAUCUUUACCCUUGAAUUCAUAAUCCGAUUCGAGGAAAGUUCGGACCAAAGUCAAGUGAAGUUAGAGUCAAGCUUAGAAGUUAAGAAGUAAGUCGAAGCAAGUCUUUAAAGUUUUUCAAGAGUCUUUAUUGAACGUUUUAACUUCAUUUUAAGACUCAAGUUUCAAGGUGAGUAAAGAGUAUAGAGUUUCAAGUUAAGUAAAGAGUAUAGAGUUUCAAGUUGAGUAAAGAUUAUAGAGUUGAGUUCAUUUCUCAAGAGUUAUUAGGGAACUAAGUAUUCCCAAAGAAGUUUAGAAAUGUUUUCACAUUUGAGUAAGAAAGGAACAAUGAUUUCCAAAAGAGCCUUUGGGCUAGUUUUCAAGAAAAAGAAACAUCGAUUCCAAGUGAGCCUUUGGGCUAGAUUUUGAGCAAUUAUCUCAAACUAAAGAAAGAUGUGUUUAAAACACUUAUGAGCUAAAGUAUAUUUUGGGAGUAGUCUUGAGCACUGAAUUGGGGACACGAGUUCAUAUUAACUCAACUCUCCAUAAGAACCAUGUAGCCAACAUGGGAGUUAACGGGUCAUACUUUUUAGAUGAACCCGUAAAGUUAAGCUAGUGGAUCCACUUAGUAAAGUUAGCUUGUUAACGAGUCAUACUUUUUAAAUAAUCACGUAAGAUUAAGCUAGUGGAUCCACUAAGUUAAGUAAGGUCCUAUAUCACGGCAAGGUAUAGGAUGUUCCUUGGCCAACGUGAGGUAAAACGUUGUAUCAUCACUAGGGCUCAUAGUGGUGGUUGUCGGUUAAAGAAUCUCCUACUAAAGUUAUAUUACUUUUAUAUAAGUAAAGUUGAGUUUGUUAUUGUUUUAUCCUUAACGAACUAAGUGGUUUACACUGUUUUUACAAGCUUUAUAUAUUGCAUGUGUCUUAUUGCUUUAUAUUGAGUUCGGUUGUUCAUGAGUCGAACAGAGCUAAGGUAAGAGUUCCUUUGUAUUCCUUUCAAGCUUAAGUUGUUGUUAGCUUCCCAGCUCGCAUACUCGUACAUUCAAUAUACUGAUGCCAGUUUGACUGCAUCUUAUUAUGAUGCAGACGCAGGUACCCAGGAUCAGCAUCCAGCACGCCGUUGAUCCAGCUGAGCACUCCAGAGUCAGUGGUGAGCCUCUUUACUUUCCGGAGGACUCUAUUAUUUCGUUUUCCUAGUUUUGUUUUAUUAGGAUGUUGCGGGGUCUGUCCCAACAUCCAUCUCAGUGUUAUAGAAGCUGCAUAGACAGUCAGUCAGUUAGUAUUGAGUCUCUCAUCUAUGUAUAUAUGUAAAUAUUCUAUUUUGAGACACGAGUUGCCUUUUGGCCAGAUUUUAUCAGUUAGGUUGUUUUAUGACCUUUCAUUGCAUUGAGUUAUUCUGUCGAGUUAAGUUUCCACUGAGUUAAGAAAGUUGGGCCAAGGGUUUGCUUGGGGCCAGCAAUGGUCUUCAAGUGCCAGCCACGUCCAGGGUGUAGACUUGGGGCGUGACAAUCUCUUUUAAGAAAAAGAUGAGUUUUGCGAAAGAGUUUCUAAAACAUGAUUAGUAUGACAAUCGAGUAUGUUAUCAAUGUUUAAACAGUAUGGUCUCUAGAUAUACCAUCAAUGUUUAUGAAGUAUGACUUCUCGAGUCAUCAAUGAUCAUAUUAAAAUAUGGUUUUGAUAUGUUUCUUUUUUUUUAAAACAGUUUUCAAGAGCAAUUACCUCUUUUAAGAGGGUAGUUUUGAGUAAUUUUCUCAAACUAAAUAAAGAAGUUUGUUUUAAAGCUUAUGAGCUAAAGUAUAUUUUUGGGAGUAGUCUUGAGCACCGAAGUGGGUAUACGAGUUCAUAUUAACUCAACUCUCCAUAAGAACCAUGUGGCCAACAUGAGAUUUAACGGGUCAUACUUUUUAAAUGAUCACGUAAGUUAAGCUAGUGGAUCCACUAAGUUAAAGUUAAAGUAAGGUCCUAUAUCACGGCAAGGUAUAGGAUGGUCCUUGGGCAACGUGAGGUAAAACGUUGUAUCAUCACUAGGGCUCAUAGUGGUGGUGAUCGGUUAGAGAAACUCCCAUAGUAGAAAUGGUUCCUCGAGGGGUUCUGCUUAGUAUGGAUGGGGGUAUGGGACUUCACUCAUACAUUGCACAAGUAGACCUUGAAAGGAAGCAUGGUAUUUUAUGAUAUUAUAANNNNNNNNNNNNNNNNNNNNNNNNNNNNNNNNNNNNNNNNNNNNNNNNNNNNNNNNNNNNNNNNNNNNAUGGGGGUAUGGGACUUCAUUCAUGCAUUGCACAAGUAGACUUUGAGAGGGAGCGUGAUAUUUUUAUGAUAUUAUAAAUGUGAUUUUUGACGUCAUGUUUUAAUAGUUUUACAAGCUUUAUAUAUUGCAUGUGCGUUAUUGCUUUAUAUUGAGUUUGGUUAUUCAUGAGUGUCUGUCCCAACAUCCAUCUCAGUAUGUUAGUGGCUUCAUAGACAGUCAGUCAGUUAGUAUUGAGUCUCUCAUCUAUGCAUAUAUAAAUAUUCUAUUUUGAGACGAGUUGCCUAUUGGCCAGAUUUUAUCAGUUGGGUUGCUUUAUGACCUUUCUUUGCAUUGAGUUAUUCUGUUGAGUUAGGUUUCCGCUGAGUUAAGAAAGUCAGGCCAAGGGUUCACUUGGGGUCAGCAAUGGUCUUCGAAUGUCGGUCCCGCCCAGGGUGUAGGCUCGGGGCGUGACAGAAACCUACUUAUUCUCCGAAAAAGCAUUUUUCAAAAAGACAUUUUAGAGGCAUUGUUAUCAUUUGGUAGAUCCAGGUUCAUGGCCUAUUUCUAUGGAACACAUUCUCCAUAGUACCGAACACAGUCUCAGAACUUUGUUUGUUGAUAUCCACUGUUAUGGACCUCACUUGUGGAAUUUCAUUGGAUGUGUUGUUGAUGUUUGAGUUGAUAUGCCGUGCUGAAAAUCUUUGUGGGUAGGAGGGAGUAUAAGAAUGAUCCACAACUCCCGGCAACGAUGUAAUAAGAAAUUUGUUUGUUAUGUAUAAAAGAAUUAUCCCGAACCUGGCCUUUUUUCAUAAAAUUCAGAACCUAUAAUUUUUUAAUCUUCCCGGGGUCCCCUUUUUCUAUAGAUUGAAUUAUCAUAAUAUUUUAUGACAAAAUAUUGUAAAGGUGUAUGAAAUGGUAUAUUGCUCAAAAUCAUGGUAAUACCAUUUAUUUAUAACUUUAAAAUUUUGAAUUGUACUAAUUGAAUAUAUUAAUUUCACAAUGUACUUUUAUUUAGUUCAAAGUUUUCCUCGUUGUACUUUAAGCUUUGGAGUGUAAUGUUUUUCCGCAUUUUAUGAGGUGCUAAGAUUAGAAAAAGGCAUAAUACAUGAAUAGACGAUAUUCAAAUUUGGUCUUAAUUAAAUUCUCCAAUUUAUAAAUUGAUCACUUAGACUCUUCCAAUAAUUAUUUAUUACAUCAAUGUAGGGUGUUCACGAAAUACGAGAUACAGUGAAGCCAAAUUAAAAUAUUUAGAUGUACACUUCCACAAGAAGGUUAACCAAAAUGAAAGGGAAGUUUCCCAACAUAUUUUUUCUUAGAUAUGUCUCAUUCACUUUUACCUUUACUUUUACUUUUACGGUUACUCUUUUUUUUGUGUGUUAUAUUUGAAUUUGACAUACCACUAAAAAUAUUAUUGGGACUUCUUUUAUAUUUGUCCUUUCUUAUUGAGUAUGCUAAAGUAUACACUUAAAUUUGUAUAAAAUUAAAUAAAUAGACAUGGCGUCUUACAUGAAAAUUUGUGUCCUAUAUGUAUUACGUCACAUAAAAUGAGUAUGUCUACUUGUUCAAUUUUAUACAAGUUUAAGUGUUUAUUUGUACACAUCUAAAGUUGGAGGACAUAGAUGUCAGCAAAAACCAAGUUAAAUGACAUAUAUUUUUUUUUAUAUCUUUAGAAAUAUUCAAAAGAAUAAUAGUGAAAAGUAAAUUUUGAUUUUUGUCUUUAAAUUUAAGCGGUACAAACUUCUUUUCUUAUACAACUAGGAUAACAGUUCUCUCUUGAUAUGUCACCUCUUUCACAUUAAUUGUCGUCCUAACUCUUUGUUUAAACUUCUUUGUUGGCAUCUCAAAGUCAAUCAUUCUUUGAAUCUCUUUCACAUUUUUAAGUGAAUUGAAAUAAAUGGACAAAAUUCAUUUAGGAGUCAUUUGCAAAUCAGAUUGUAGUUGGAUGAGAAUGUUGAAUAUUACAGAUUGAUAGUAGUGUCUAAGGUGACUGUUAUAUACAAAUACUUUAAGAACAAACUUUUUUCUUACAUAACGAACGCAAGAAAAUAAGUAAGAAAUCUACUUAUUCUCCGGAAAAACAUUUUCCAAAAAGACAUUUUAGAGGCAUUGUUAUCAUUUGGUAGAUCCAGGUCCAUUGCCGAUUUCUAUGGAACACAUUCUCCAUGGUUCCGAACACACUCUCAGAACUUUGCUCGUUGAUAUCCACUGUUACGGACCUCACUUGUGGAAUUUCAUUGGAUGUGUUGUUGUUGUUUGAGUUGAUAUGCCAUGCUGAAAGUCUUUGUUGUUGUUUGAGUUGAUAUGCCAUGCUGAACGCUUUAUAUGGGCAACAGUAACAGCGAAGUGUUCAAGCUCAUGUGCAUCGCAAAGGCGGCAAACAAACCAGAGAACCAUUCCUAAGAACUUGUUAUUAUGUACUGUGGGCAUAGUCAAACAAAUAAGAUAAAAGAAUUUACUGACUUUAUUUCCUUGUAGAACAUCUCGGACUUAUUGAGGUUUGAACAAUCUACUCAAUUUUCUAGAGUCUCGAGGUGAUUCCAUACGAACAAUUUCUCUUCCCAUAUCUCGCACUAGAUCAUGCAUCACCAAAUAACGCCAAUCCCUUUGGAGAAAGUUCCUUUGGACUAAGGUUGAAAUUGCACUUUCAGAAUAAAAACCACACGCGUUUAAUGUUUUGAUAACUUCAUCCUCAAAAAAUUCAUGGAAGGCACACGCAAUAUCAAGGAAAACACUUUGAGUAUCACAAUCAAGUCCGUCAAAGCUUAUCUUGAGGAUCUUUUGAAUAUCACAAUGAGGAAUUGCUCUUAGUUUUUUGAACUCGUAUCUCCAUUCUUUAACGGAUCUCCCUCACAAUCAAGUCCGUCAAAGCUUAUCUUGAGGAUCUUUUGAAUAUCACAAUGAGGAAUUGCUCUUAGUUUUUUGAACUCGUAUCUCCAUUCUUCUACGGAUCUCCCUUGUAAAUGUGACCCCAAUGUCACAAGAGCUAACGGUAGCCCACCUGAAUAUUUGAUUAUGCUUUGUGCAACCUCAACAUAUUCUUGUGGCGGAGAAGGACUACUAAAAGCAUGACAAGAAAAAAGUUGUUGAGCUUCAUCUUGAUUUAAAUGUUUUGCCUUGUAUCUCUCGUUUUCUCUAAUCCGAGAUAGCAAAUGCUUGUCUCGGGUUGUAAUAAUUAUUAAACUACCAGAACCAAACCAACUUCUUUCUCUUGUUAAGGAUUCUAAUUGGCUCAUAUAAUCCACGUCAUCAAGAAUAAUUAGAACCUUCUUUGACCCAAGUCUUGCUUUGAUUAGAUUGAUGCCUUCAGCAACACUGGUAACUUUGACGUCCUUAGUUUUGAGAAUUUGAUUUAGUAGUUUUUCUUGUAACUUGACUAAACCAAAUGCUUCAGCUUCUGAUCUAACAUCUGAAAGGAAGCAACUAAUAUCAAAGUGUCGAAAUAUUUGAUUGUAGAUAGCUUUAGCCAGAGUUGUUUUUCCUAUUCCACCUACGCCAUAUAUACCAACCAUGCGAACUUCAUCUACACAUCCUUUUUGGAGUAACAACUCUAUAUCUUCGACACGAGAAUCUACUCCAACAGGAUGCCAAGCAAUAUCUAGAGGUGUCUGGUUUACCUCUAGUAGAACUUGUUUUACAAUACUUUCAAUAAAUUUUGAUUCAUGUCUGCAUAUUAGCAAAAACAAAAGUUAGAAUAAAAAAAACAACUUUGAUGUGUGGAAAAAAAAUAAUUGAUAACCAACUUAUGACUUUUGACUGAUAAGUCAGUUUGACCAGUUUAUAAAUAUUACCCGUCAACAACAUUUCGCAAAUCCCAUCCAGAUAAAUUUGCGCUAAUUCAGUAAGUGAAUCCGUCCAUUUUUUCAUUCUCUCAACCUCGAAUGAUCGCUCCUUAAGCAUAGCUAAAACUUCACCAAAGUAUCCGGUUUGCUUGCGUACAUGAGAAGGAUGAACAUCAUAGAAAAUAGGCAAAACUAUUUUCUUUAACUUGUCUUUGCAUUCGAGAAUUUUAACAAGUUCAUCAAGACACCAACUAGACGAAGCAUAAUUUUUCGAGAAAACAACAAUGGAAACUCUAGACUCUUCAAUUGCUUUCUCAAGUUCUUUUGAAAUCACCUUGCCUUUUCUUAAUUCCUCAUCAUCUAUGAAGGUAUUAAUUCCAACUUGACAUAAUCUGGAAUAAAGAUGACCUGUGAAGGUUUUUCGAGUAUCUUCACCUCUGAAACUCAGAAACACGUCAUAAGAGAAGUUGGAAGAAGUAGUUGAUGAUUCCCCUACAACAAAUUGAGUAUUCAUAUUUGAUGACUAAUAUAUGGAAGAAUGAGUAGCUAUCUAUAUAAUAUACCAUGCACAUGCUAUGGUUUUUUCUUGGUAACUUAACUAAUGCUAUAUAUUCUUUAAUUUAUUUUGUACAAUUAUUCUUCAUUAAAUUUUGUUAAUUGGGACUUUUUUUUUAAUGAUUCUUUACCUUUUGUCUCAUCUUUAAUUUGUUAAAGACUUGAAUGAUAAAAAGUAAGAUUCUUUCUUCCUUGAAAACUCAAAAGUUCAUCUCUCCACAUAAUUAUGAUGAUGUUAAGCUUGAUGUCAUAAUCUUUUAAUAAUGGAAUUGAAAACAUCGAUUUGUUCUCAAUUCACAAGUUGGAUUAAACUUUUUUUUCUUUUUUACCUAAUCAAGUAGUAUCGCAUAAAUUAUAACGAUAAUUUUUUAAAAGAAAUUAAAACACUUUGUAUUAAUAGUAAAAACUAGGAAACUUUGUCGUAAUAAAACUAACUACUAGUCUAUUGCAACUAUUAAACAAGUAAACAACUAAUAAAACUAAUUGGAUCACUCUUACUGAACCAUUGGUCUUAAUCCUAUACCUAUCAUACUGAUAUAGAGGUGAAUUCAGAACUUAAAAUUUAUGAAUUCUUAUAAAAAAUAAAUAAAUUUAUGAAUGAUAAUAAUUGAGUUCAUAAUCAAAUUAUAUUAAUUACUUAAUGAUUUUCUUAGUACAUAUAAAUAAUAUGAAUAAAAUCUAUUGAGUUCACACUAACCUCUCUAUAAUAAUCAAAUCAGUAAUUUUGAUCCAAAUUGAACUUUGUAUUUAUGAUAAUAAAUUUGUUUGUUAUGUGUAAAAAUAAUAUCCGGAACCCGAUCCGACCAGUAAAUGCUUUUUAUAAAAUUGAGAACCUAUAAAUAUAAAAUCGAAAUGCCAGUAGCAGUCAUAGUAUUUGGAACAAAGAAAAGCAAGGGAAUAACAAACCAUAUCUUCUGCUCCAACUUCACUUUCUUUAUAGUAUUUUUGAAAGGAAAAAAGGGAAUAGAAUUAAAUAUUAUCAGAAUGCCAACCAAAUAUUGAUUUUGUGCUCUAUCCUUACUGUGGGAAAAAAAAGAAAAUGUAAUUUAUUUGUGCAGUUUUUUAAUCUUCCAGGCGUCCCAUUUUUCUAUGGAUUGAAUUAUCAUAAUAUUUUAUGACAAAAUACUGUAAAAUGGUGUAUGACUGUAUGGGAAAUAUAAUAUUUGUAUAUUCCUCAAAAUCAUGAUAAUACCAUUUGUUUCUAACUUUUUAAUUGUACUAAUUGAAUAGAUUAAUUGUACAAUAUACUUUUGUUUAGUUCAAAGUUUUCCUCUUUGUACUUUAAGCUUGUGUGUCACGUCAGUAUAGGGUGUCCACGAGACACAUUAAGGGUGAGUUGGAGUGUUUAGCUGUUAGUUGAGAUGUCUAUAUGUACACUUUUAAUUAGUUACGCUUGCGAAAUUUUAAUUGGAUGACAAAACUAGGAUCGAAGUUUCGAGUGGUUAGCAUCUGACGGAUGAAAAAAAAAUCUAAAUGAAAAAUACUUUUUAGCGAAUCAGCUUGUAGUUGGAUGAGAAUUUUGAAUAUUACAGAUUGAUAGUAGUGUCUUAGGUGUUAUAUACAAAUACUUUAUGAACAAACGUUUUUCUUACAUAACGAUCACAAGAAAAUAAGUAAGAAACCUACUUAUUCUCCGGAGAAACAUUUUCCAAAAAGACAUUUUAGAGGCAUUGUUAUCAUUUGGUAGAUCCAGGUCCAUGGCCUACUUCUAUGGAACACAUUUUCCAUGGUACAUAACACAUUCUCAGAACUUUGCUCGUUGAUAUCCACUAAUACGGACCUCACUUGUGGGAUUUCACUGGAUGUGUUGUUGUUGUUUGAGUUGAUAUACCAUGCUGAAAGUCUUUGUGGGUAGGAGGGAGUAUAAGAAUGAUCCACAACUGCCGGGAAAGAAGUAACAUUACCAUGUUGAUCUACAUAUAAUAGACGUACUCCUAUCUUCUUUACAACGGCUCCGCCAGUGCGAUCCUCUACUGUUAUCUGUUCCCCGCCUUUGAUCUUCAGGCCAUUAAAAGGUCUAUUGUUUGAGUAAGAGAAGUAAUAUACACGUGAUAUUUCUCCCUGACUGUCAGGUAUAUUAAAAUGCGAACUCCACCAAAAAGUUGAAGACUCUACAUGGGCAACAGUAACAAUGAAGCUUUGAAGAUAGGAGGAUACAUUGCCAAAGUGGCAAACAAACCAGAGAACCAUUCCCAAGAACUUAUUAUUAUGUACUGUGGGCAUAGUCAAACAGAUAGAUGGAGCUGUUACUUUAUUGCUGCACCAAUCUGGAAUCUCAUUGCUUUCGAGAUUAAUUUGUAAUGACAUCUUCAUCAGACAAAUUAAGACACAAUUAGAUCAUUAAUUAUUAAUGUGAUACGAGGGAGAGAUCAGAGAGGGAGAGGGACUAACCUUAUACCGUUGAUGUUUUCUAGACGGAAUUGAUAGAGCAUGGGCACUAAAGAAGCCUUCAUUGAAUGGAUUCUGCAGACGAGUACAAUUAAUCAUGUCCACCUUCUCUAUUGAAGGGAGGUAGUCCGACCCUGUAAUCUUGACCAGUUUUUGGCAAUUCCUAAGUUCAACAAUUGCAAGGUGCUCUAAAUUUGAUAUUGACGGGAGUGUUUGAAGGUUCUCACAAUCAUUCAAAUAUAAGGACGUCAACAAUGGUAACUUGGAAAAAUCAAAGGGUAGAUAGAGGAAACUGUUGCCGCUCAAAUCUAAAAAAUAUAAGUUGGAUAAACUCCCAAUAUCCCUAGGAACAUCAGCCUCCGAGAAACCACAAUAUGAAAGGCGUAGAUUCAAAAUAAAUUUUGACAAGGACACUAUGGGGCGUACUCUUCUUUGAGAAAAACUCCUUUUGGCCUUUAAGUAUUGGCCUCCCAUUUCCAAUUCUACAAGAUUUCGUAGCAUUUCAACAGAUCCAGGCAAUUGUUUUAUACCUGUUUCACGUGCAUUAAGAUAUCUUAGGCUUUGCAUAGCUCCAAUGUUAACUGGCAGUGUUUGUAAAGACGAGCAGUCAUUAAUGUACAAGGUUUUAAGGGAUUUUAGCUGGCAUAUGCUGCUCGGAAGAUCCGUAAUAUUUUUUGCAACCAUUCAAUUGAAGAUCAGUUAGUCUGUCCAAAUUUCCUAUUGAUGGAUGGAUCUCCUUCAGACUUGAAGCAAUUCUCAAGCAACAAAGUCUCGAGACUUCGUGAACCGUUGAAGUUUGGAGUUUUUCUGAGGCGCUUGCAAUCAGAGAGAUCCAGCAUUUUCAAAUUUCUACAAUACUAAAAGUAAACAAAAUAUUGUUUCAAUUAAGAUUUUCUUUCCCUUAAACAUUACACAUAAAUUUGCAAAAUUGAGUAACGAACCUGCAAAUUCAAACCAAAUUCUAGGAUAUUGCUCCCUUUCAUAUUCAGAAAUACAAGUUUCUCAGAUGGAAAAUUUGAUGGUACACAUUUUAAAGGACAUCCUUUCCAAGACAGCCAUCUGAGCUCCUUGGACAAUAGCUCAAAAUCUCCACUAAUAUGUAAAGUCGUCGAUUUUUAAGCACCCUAAGAUUUAUCAUUUUCUGAAAUGCUUUUGGUGUUCAGCUUCACACCCUUUAAUGCCUGUCGUUCUACCACCAAUAUUUCUACAUUUUUAGAACCCUACAGUUUAGUAAAAAGAAAAGUACUAUAAGACCAUGUUAAGUAUGAUAAAUUAAGAAAGAGAAAUGCUUUAUACAAAUUGAAGGUCAAACAAAUAGAAUAAAUUAUGUACCAAUAAAAAAAAAAUUACACAUUAUAUCCAACUAAAGGAUGUUUAUUUGAUAAUUUUGUCUUUGAUAGUUUGUUUAGACUUCAGUAAAUGUUCAUUUCAAGUACAGAAUGGUUCAAACAUCUAAAGAUACUUACUAACGGGAGAAGAUUUAAGCACAAAUGCAUAAAUUAUAAGCAAAUGUAUAUCAAUAUGAAAAAAGAAGAAGAAGAAGUAUAACCAAGAUAAAGAUAAUGAAAUUUACUGACUUUAUUUCCUUGUAGGACAUCAAGGACUUCUUGAGGGUUGACCAAUCUACUCCGUUUUCCACUGUCUCGAGGUGAUUCCAUGCGAACGAUUUCUCUUCCCACAUCCUGCACUAGAUCAUGCAUCACCAAACGACGCCGAUCCCUUUGGAGCAGGUGUCUUUUGACUAGAGUUACAAUUGCACUUUCACAAUACAAACCACAGGCGUUUAAUGUUUUGGUAACUUCAUCCUCAUCACAUCCAUGGAAGGCGCACGCAAUAUCAAGGAAAACAUUCUGAGUAUUGUCAUCAAGUCCAUCAAAGCUUAUUUGGAGAAUCUUUUGAAUAUCAAAAUGAGGAAUUGUUCUUAGUUUUUCGAACUCGUAUCUCCAUUCUUCAACGGAUCUCCCUUGUAAAUGUGACCCCAAUGUCACAAGAGCUAAUGGUAGCCCACCUGAAUAUUUAAUUAUGUUUUGGGCCAGCUCAACAUAUUCAUGUGGUGGAGAAAGACUGUUAAAAGCAUGACAAGAAAAAAGUUGUUGUGCUUCGUUGCCAUUUAAAAGUUUGGCCCGGUAUAUCUCAUUUGUUGUAAGACCAUAAAGCAAAUGCUCGUCUCGGGUUGUAAUAAUUAUAACACUACCAGAACCAAACCAAUUUCUUUCUCUUGUUAAGGAUUCUAAUUGGCUUCUAUGAUCCACAUCAUCAAGAACAAUUAGAACCUUUUGGGACCCAAGUCUUGCUUUGAUGAGAUUAACACCUUCAGCAACACUAUCAACUUCAAAUUCCUUAGUUUUGAGGAUUUGAUGAAGUAGUUUCUCUUGAAGCUUGAUUAGACCCAAUUCUUCAGCUUUUGAUCUAACAUCUGAAAGGAAGCAACUACCACCAAACUGUAGAAAUAUUCUAUUGUAGAUGGCUUUUGCUAGAGUUGUUUUUCCAAUUCCACCAACGCCACAUAUACCAACCAUUCGAACUUCAUGCUCACAUCCACUUUGCAUUAACAACAAUAUAUCUUUGAUAGGAGAAUCUAAUCCAAUUGGAUAAUGAGCAACAUCUAGAGGUGUCUGGUUGACUUCUUGCAGAACUUGUUUUAUAAUACUUUCAAUAAAUUUUGAUUCAUGCCUACAGUUUUUUUAGCAAAAACAGUAAAAAACAAAACUUUGAUAUUUGAAAAUAUAUGAUGAACAAAACAAAAUCCAUAGCCAACAGAUAACAGGGAAAUCGAGGGUAGAGAAUGGAGAUUAUCAAUUACUAUUACUCCCUCGUUCCAAUUUAUGUGAUGCAGUCUGAUUUGGCACGGAGAUUAAGAAAUAUAAAAAGAAUUUGCAAUGUUCCAAAACUAACCAACUUAUAAGCUUAGGCAAAUGCUUAAAUUCAAAAUUCUAAAGUUGAAUUAAGAAGUGUUACCCAUCAGCAACAUUUCUCAAAUCCCAUCCAGAUAAAUUUGCUGCUUCAGUAAGUGCAGCUUUCCACUUUUCCAUUCUUUCAGUUCCAAUUGAUCGUUCCUUGUGUUUUGCCAAAGCUUCGCCAAAGGAUCCAGUUUGUCUUCGUACUUGAGAAGGAUCAACAUCAUAGAAAAUAGGCAAAACUAGCUGAUUUAACCUCUCUCUGCAAUCGAGAAUUUUGACAAGUUCAUCAAGACACCAACUAGAGGAAGCAUAAUUUUUGGAGAAAACAACAAUGGCAACCCUAGAUUGUUCAAUUGCUUUCUCAAGUUCAAUUGAAAUGACGUCUCCCUUUCUCAAUUCCUCAUCAUCUAUGAAAGUAUUAACUCCGACUUGACAUAAUCUGAAAUAAAGAUGACCGGUAAAGUUGUUUCUGGUAUCUUCACCUCUGAAACUGAGAAACACAUCAUAAGAGAAGUUGGAAGAAGAAGAUGAUUCUCCUUGAGUAUUCAUAUUUGAUGACAAUAAAUGGAAGAAUUAAGCGAUUUUUAGUUGAAUGAAAGAAAAGAUGAGUGAAGCAGUUACAGGUAAUUGUUUGUUCCUGGAAACUCAAUUUUGGGUCAACUCAUUUACAAUCCCUAAAGAAAGUUAAUCGAAACGAAAGGGAAGUUCCCAGCAUAUUUCUUAGAUAGUUCACGUGUCUAUAUUAAAAGUAGAUAUAUUUACAUAAAUUUAGAUGGCAAAAAGUAAUCUCUUUCUCUUAAUUAAUUACUUCUCCACUUUUGAAUUGACACACCUGAGUAUUAAGAAAACAAUAAGAAGUAGUAGAAAUAAUUAGGGAUGAUAAUGAGAUAGCGUGGAUGAAAGGUAGGGCGGAUUAAAGGUUAUAUGGGGCGGGGGCGGGGAGCUUUUAAGGUUGUAUGGGGUUGGGUGGAUGCAAAUUAAUGUGAGGCGGUGCGAUUUGUGGGUUCAUGUGAUUUUAUACGGAUUCAAAUUUAAUUUUAAUUGUAUAGGUUAUAAGAGUGAUGAAGCUUUCACGGAUAAAAAUACACAUGAUUUGGUAGUUAAACUAUUAGUAUUAGGAUUAGGAUAAAAUAAAGAGAAUAAUCUUGCCCUUUGUCUUGUAUUGUGUUAUAAUUCAUAUAAAAAAAUUUAUCUGAUUUGGAGUCUACUCAAUUUUCAAAAGAAAAAAAAAACUUUAAUUCAUGAUGUGCACUUUAUUUAUGCUUUUAUUUGCAUCUACUUAUUUUGACCCAACGAAAAUGAAUUUUGUUAUUUAUGCUCUGCAUAAAUUGCAUCUAGUUAAAAAGAAUUUUGAAAUAUUGAGUUUUAUGAAUUUGAUUUUAUUUUAUUUUCUACAAAAAUUGUGUGAUCAUUUGGUAAUGGCCAUUACUAUUGCUCAAAGAUUUUAAACAUGAAAUAUAACUAAUACAAUAAUAAUUUUAAUAUAGCUUACUAAAAUAUUCAAGAUAAUAAAUGAAAAUGAUUAGAGUUUUCGAUAAAACUCAUCCUCAAACUAUAGCCUAGAUUUUGGUUACAUCCUUGCAUUAUUAUAUUGAACAAAAAACAUCAUUCAUCUAUCUAAGAAGUUUCAAUAGUCAUCCUUCGGUUAAUUUUGGUAAAAAGUUAACUUGUUAUCGUCAAAAUAUGUGUAAAGCAUGUAGGUUUCCCUCUAAAUCUCCUAACCUAAAUCGUCUUCUCCACUAUAUUUUGAGCUAUUGCACUUUAGAUUUGUGUCAUAGUUGAAGGAUGAUUUCAGUAAAAAAUUUAAAAUAAUUUAAUUAAAAUUAAUACAAUUUCUUACCUACUUCCUAAUUGGGAACUUUGUAUUUAUGAUAAAGAAGUAUAAAAAAGUUAUCCCGAACCCGACCAGUAAAUGCUUUUUUAUAAAAUUUAGAACCUAUAGUUUUUUAAUCUUCCAGGGGUCCCAUUUUUCUAUGGAUUGAAUUAUCAUAAUAUUUUAUGACAAAAUACUGUAAAAUGGUGUAUGAUUGUAUGGCAUAUAUACCAUUUGUAUAUUCCCCAAAAUCAAUGAUAACCAUUUGUCUCUAACUUUAAUUUUGAAUUGUACUAAUUGAAUAUAUUAAUUGUACAAUAUACAUUUAUUUAGUUCAAAGAUUUCCUCUUUGUACUUUAAGCUUUGGAGUGUAUUGUUUUCCGCAUUUUAUGAAGUGUUACUAUUAGAAAAAAAGGCAUAAUACAUAAACAUGUGAUAUUCAAAUUUGGUCUCAGUUAAAUUCUCCAAUUUAUAAAAUGAUCAUUUAGAUUCUUCCAAAAUUAUUUGUUAUGUUAAUGUAGGAUGUCCACGAGAUACAUUGAGGCCAAGUUGGAGUGUUUAGCUGUUAGUUAAUAGCAAGUUAAAAUAUCUAGACGUGCACUUUCAAAGUUAGAGACUGAUUUUAUGUUGUUUUUUAUUUGUGUGUCUAAUUAUGAUGUUUUAUUUAUAUGGUUUGAUUUGUGAAUGAAUUUUGAUUUUGCUCAUGUUAUUGUUGAUGGAUUCAUUUUCAGUCACUACUUAAUUAGUUACUAGAUGUGGAUUAAGAUUUUGAGUUUGUAAGUUCUAGAUCUCAACCGAUCAUUUUUGAAGUUUGUUGGAAUGUCAUAACAUAAAUACAUGAUUUGAAUCAAAGUUAUUGAGUUUGAUCAAACCCGUAGAUCCUAUACACGGUGGAUGAGUGAAGCAGAAAUAAUUGGACAAAAUUCAUUUAGGAGUCAUUUGCAAAUGAGAUUGUAUUUGGAAGAGAAUUUUGAAUAUUACAUAUUGAUAGUAGUGUCUAAGGUGUUAUAUACAAAUACUUUUAGAACAAACUUUUUUCUUACAUAAUGAACACAAGAAAAUAAGUAAGAAAACCUACUUAUUCUCCGGGGAAACAUUUUCCAAAAAGACAUUUUAGAGGCAUUGUUAUCAUUUGGUAGAUCCAGGUCCAUGGCCUAUUUCUAUGGAACACAUUCUUCAUGGUACCGAACACAAUCUCAGAACUUUGUUCGUUGAUAUCCACUGUUACGGACCUCACUUGUGGGAUGUGUUGUUGUUGUUUGAGUUGAUAUGCCCGAAAGUCUUUGUGGGUAGGAGGGAGUAUAAGAAUGAUCCACAACUCCCGGCAAAGAUGUAACAUUACCAUGUUGGUCCAAGUAUAACAGAUGGAUCCCUAUCUUCUUUACUAGUCUCUGUCAGUUUCAUUCUUUACUGUUAUCUGUUCCCCACCUUUGAUGUUCAGGCCUUUAAAAGGUCUAUCAUUUACGGAAGAUAAGUAAUAUACACAUGAUACUUCUCCGUGACUGUUAGGUCUAUCAAAAGGCCAAAUCCACGGAAAACCUGUACUCUUUUUAUGGGCAACAGUAACAGCGAAGUGUUCAAGAUCAUGUACAUCGCAAAGGCGGCAAACAAACCAGAGAACCAUUCCUAAGAACUUGUUAUAAUGUACUGUGGGCAUAGUCAAACAGAUAGAUGGAGCUGUUACUUUAUUGCUGCACCAAUCUGGAAUCUCAUUGCUUUCGAGAUUAAUUUGUAAUGACAGCUUCAUCAGACAAAUUAAGACACAAUUAGAUCAUUAAUUAUUAAUGUGAUACGAGAGAGAUCAGAGAGGGAGAGGGACUAACCUCAUACCGUUGAUGUUCUCUAGACGGAAUUGAUAGAGCAGGGGCACUAAAGAAGCCUUCACUGAAUGGAUUCUGCAGACGAGUACAAUUAAUCAUGUUCAUCUUCUCUAUUGAAGGGAGGUUGUCCAACCCUGCAAUCUUGACCAGUUUUUGGCAAUUCCUAAGUUCAACAAUUUCAAGGUACUCUAAAUUUGAUAUUGACGGGAGUGUUUGAAGGUUCUCACAAUCAUUCAAAUACAAGGACAUCAACAAUUGUAACUUGGAAAAAUCAAAGGGUAGAUAGAGGAAACUGCUGCCGCUCAAAUCUAAAUGAUAUAAGUUGGAUAAACUCCCAAUAUCCCUAGGAACAUCAGCCUCUGAAAAACCACAAUAUGGAAGGCAUAGAAUCGAAAUAAAUUUUGACAAGGAUACUAUAGGGCGUACUCUUGUUUGAGAAAACCUCCUUUUGGUCUCAAAGUAUUGACCUCCCAUUUCCAAUUCUAUAAGAUUUCCUAGCAUUUCAACAGAUCCAGGCAAUUCUUUUAUACCUGUUUCACGUGCAUUAAGAAAUCUUAGGCUUUGCAUAUCUCCAAUGUCAACUGGCAGUGUUUGUAAAGAUGAGCAGUCAUUAAUGUACAAGAUUUCAAGGGAUUUUAGCUGACAUAUGCUGCUCCAAAGAUCAGUAAUCUUUUUGCAACCACUCAAUCGAAGACAAAUUAGUCUGUCCAAAUUUCCUAUGGAUGGAUGGAUCUCCUUCAGACUUGAGCAAUUCUCAAGCCACAAAGUCUCGAGACUUCGUGAACCGUUGAAGUUUGGAGUUUUUCUGAGGCGCUUGCAAUAAGAGAGAUCCAGCAUUUUCAAAUUUCUACAAUACUAAAAGUAAACAAAACAUAGUUUCAAUUAAGAUUUUCUUUCUCUUAAACAUUACACAUAAAAUUGCAGAAUUGAGUAACGAACCUGCAAAUUCAAACCAAAUUCUUGGAUAUUGCUCCCUUUCAUAUUCAGAAAUACAAGUUUCUCAGAUGGAAAAUUUGAUGGUACACAUUUUAACGGACAUCCUUUCCAAGACAACCAUCUGAGCUCCUUGGACAAUAGCUCAAAAUCUCCACUAAUAUGUAAGUGGUCUAUUUUAAGCACCCUAAGAUUUAUCAUUUUCUGAAAUACUUUGGUGCUUAGCUUCACACCCUUUAAUGCUUGUCGUUCUACCACCAAUAUUUCUACUUUUUUAGAACCCUGCAAUUUAGUAAAAAUAAAAGUACUAUAAGACCAUGCUUAAGUAUGACAAAUUAAGAAAGAGAAAUGCUUUAUACAAAUUGAAGGUCAAACAAAUAGAAUAAAUUAUGUACCGAUAAAAAUAAAUUUACACAUUAUAUCCAACUAAAGGAUAUUUAAUUGAUAAUUUUGUCUUUGACAGAUUGAGUGUUUAGACUUCAGUAAAUGUUCAUUUCAAGUACAGAAUGGUUCAAACAUCUAGAGAUACUUACUGGCCGGAGAAGAUUUAAGCACAAAUGCAUAAAUUAUAAGCAAAUGUAUAUCAAUAUAAAUGUAAAAAAGAAGAAGAAGUAUAACCAAGAUAAAGAUAAUAAAAUUUACUGACUUUAUUUCCUUGUAGAACAUCAAUGACUUCUUGAGGGUUGAACAAUCUACUCCGUUUUCCAGGGUCUUGAGAUUCCAUGCGAACGAUUUCUCUUCCCAUUUCCUGCACUAGAUCAUGCAUCACCAAACUAGACCAAUCAUCCCUUUGGAGCAAGUUCCUUUGGACUAAGGUUGAAUUGAACUUUCAGAAUAAAAACCACACGCAUUUAAUGUUUUGGCAACUUCAUCCUCAUAACAACCAUGGAAGGCACAUGCGAUAUCAAAGGAAAACACUCCGAGUAUUGACAUCAAGUCCAUCAAAGCUUAUCUUGAGAAUCUUUUGAAUAUCACCAUGAGGAAUUGCUUUUAGUUUUUUGAACUCGUAUCUCCAUUCUUUAACGGAUCUCCCUAGCAGAUGUGACCCCAAUGUCACAAGAGCUAAUGGUAGCCCACCUGAAUAUUUUAUUAUGUCUUGUGCCAGUUCAACAUAUUCUUGUGGUGGAGAAAAACAGUUAAAAGCAUGACAAGAAAAAAGUUGUUGGGCUUCAUUGUCAUUUAAAAGUUUGGCCCGGUAUAUCUCACUUGUUGUAAGCCCAUAUAGCAAAUGUUCAUCUCGGGUUGUAAUAAUUAUUACACUACCAGAGCCAAACCAACUUCUUUCUCUUGUUAAGGAUUCUAAUUGGCUUCUAUGAUCUACGUCAUCAAGAACAAUUAGAACCUUUUGAGACCCAAGUCUUGCUUUGAUGAGAUUAGCACCUUCAGCAACAUUAUCAACUUCAAAUUCCUUAGUUUUGAGGAUUUGAUUAAGUAGUUUCUCUUGAAGCUUGACUAGACCAGAUUCUUCAGUUUUUGAUCUAAUGUCAGAAAGGAAGCAACUACCAUCAAACUGUUGAAAUAUUCGAUUAUAGAUAGCUUUUGCCAAAGUUGUUUUUCCAAUUCCACCAACGCCACAUAUACCAACCAUGCAAACUUCAUGCUCACAUCCACUUUGCAGUAACAACUCUAUAUGUUUGAUAGGAGAAUCUAAUCCAGUUGGGUAAUGAGCAACAUCUAGAGGUGUCUGGUUAACCUCUCGCAGAACUUGUUUUAUAAUAUUUUCAAUAAAUUUUGCUUCAUGCCUACAGUUUUUGCAACAAUAAAUACUUAGGUAUUUAAAAAUAUUUGAUGAACAAAAUAAAAAUCAAUAGCCAAAAGAUAAAAGAGUUUAUAGAAUGGAGAAUAUAUUCCUUGUCCCUAUCUAUAUGACACAGUUUGAUUUGACACAAAAUUUAAGAAAUAUAGAAAGACUUUACAAUGUUCCAAAAUUAACCAAGUUAUAAGCUUAGGCAAACGCUUAAAUUCAAAAUUUAAUAGUUGAAUUAAGAAGUCUUACCCAUCAGCAACAUUUCUCAAAUCCCAUCCAGAUAAAUUUGCUGCUUCAGUAAGUGCAGCUUUCCACUUUUCCAUUCUUUCAGCUCCAACAAAUCGUUCCUUAUGUUUUGCCAAAGCUUCGUCAAAGGAUCCAGUUUGCCUUCGCACUUGAGAAGGAUCAACAUCAUAGAAAAUAGGCAAAACUACCUGAUUUAACCUCUCUUUGCAAUCGAGAAUUUUGACAAGUUCAUCAAGACACCAACUAGAGGAAGCAUAAUUUUUGGAGAAAACAACAAUGGCAACCCUAGACUGUUCAAUUGCUUUCUCAAGUUCAAUUGAAAUGACGUCUCCCUUUCUCAAUUCCUCAUCAUCUAUGAAAGUAUUAACUCCAACUUGACACAAUCGGAAAUAAAGAUGACCUGUGAAGUUUUUCCGAGUAUCUUCACCUCUGAAACUGAGAAACACAUCAUAAGAUAAGUUGGAAGAAGAAGAUGAUUCUCCUACAACAAAUUGAGUAUUCAUAUUUGAUGACAAUAAAUUAAAGAGAUUUUUAGUCAAUUUUUUGCUUAAUUAAUUAAAUAGAGAUGUGAAGCAGCUAUUUAUAUACCCACAAGUACUUGUUUGUUCCUGGAAAUUUAAUUUUGGGUCAAGUCAUUUACAAGCCCCAAAGAAGGUUUACAGAAAUGAAAGGGAAGUUUCCAAGACAUAAUAUGUCUAUUCACUUUUAUUUGUCCAGCUAUUAAAAGUAGAUAUACAAUUUACUUUCAUUUCCUUCGUAGAUUUUUACUCAUUCACACUAUUAAAAAUAAUGAUCAUUUUUAUAAUGUAUUUUUUCAUCAUAUUAAUAUGCAAAAAAUUGUAAUUUAUAAUUUUUUUAUAGUUUUUGAAUAUUUAAAUUUUUUGUUUAAAAUAUCAAAUUAAUACAAUCUAAUUUAAUUUUGAAAAUUAAUUAAAUUGACUUUCGAAAAUGACAAUAUGAUAUAAAUGAGAGAAUACCAAAAGAGCUGGCAAAUUUCCACCAAAACUUCGCAAGUGGAAAUUAUUAUUAUCUUAAAGUUAUGAACUCACAUCUACAAUUAUUAUUUAGUUUAUUAUAUUUAAAUAAAAAAGAGGAAAAGUCGGAAGUUGUAAAAUUUUAAAUGACAAGUAGAAUGUUUCAACAUGAAUUUAUGAUACUUUAAUAAGCAAUAUUCGUUCUGUAAUAAAUUAAUCGCAAAGAAUUGAUUAGGAAUUUGGUUGAAAAUAGAAAUGGUCCAAUUCAAGAUGAAACUAUUAGAAUUGACCUUUGGUGAGGAAGUAAAUUAAAUUACUCCCUUCGUCUAUUUUUAUUUGUCUAGUAUUAACUCAUGCAAUAAAUAAAACAAAAACAUGAUCGUAUUUGUUCCUGUAUUCUAACAAAAAAGUUAUAUUAUUUGUCAUUUGUUAUACUUCAGAGUCAUAUUUAUCCUUGAGACAUUAAAUCUCCAUGACCCGCCUUAAUUUAACGCAGAAUAGGACGAACACUCUUCUCCAAAGUCCAAGCUAAGACUGUUUCCAUUACUAAAAAUCAAUAAAUUACACAGUUCGAUCACUUACAAUGUUCUCUGGUAUUGUAGGUUAAUCAGAGAGACACUAUAUUCACUAUACAAAGAAAAAGUUGAUCAAUUUUUAAAACUAAGCUUUAGUGCAACUCUACAUACUAGCACUAUACAAUGGAAAAAUUGGUUACAUAAAUUAAACAAAAUUUUCUAUAGAAGCUACUGCUAUCGAAGCUCGAUGCUCCAUUGUUCAUACCUAAUAAUGGCUUUGUAGCCCUAUAAUAGUACACAUUCUACUACAUCCAUCUUCCCAUCUUCAUUGACAUCAUUUUCCUCUUCUUGUGGGCUUUAUGCUUUUCUGCAAUCCUCAGCCUCCUCUUGGCGUUUCUCAUUGGAUUGACCUUCUCUUCUUGUUUCCUCUUAUCCCUCUUCGAUUUGAUAUUCUUCCUUAUAUGACUGUAGAUUUGGACAAAAUAUGUGUUCCUAUAACAUUGCUUAUGCUCCCUCGCACUCCUUCAGCCAGUUGUUUCACGUCAUCUGUGGAGAUGAUGCAAACGUAAUGUCACGCCCCGAGCGUACACCCUGGGCAGGACCGGCACCCGGAGACCAUUUCUGGCCCCAAGCGAACCCUUGGCCUGGCUUUCUUAACUCAGCGGAAACCUAACCCAACAGAAUAACUCAAUGCAAUGCAAUAUUACAAAACAACUUAACUUAUAAAAUAUGGCCAUAAAGGCAACUCGAAUCUCAAAAUAGAAUAUUUACAUAUAUAUAUAGAUGAGAGACUCAAAACUAACUGACUGACUGUCUGUCUAUGAAGCCUCUAAAAUACUGAGAUGGAUGUUGGGACAGACCCCGCAACACCCUAAUAAGACAAAACUAAGAGAACAAAAUAACUAAGCCCUCCGGAAGCAAGGAGGCUCACACUGACUCUGGAGUGCUCAANNNNNNNNNNNNNNNNNNNNNNNNNNNNNNNNNNNNNNNNNNNNNNNNNNNNNNNNNNNNNNNNNNNNNNNNNNNNNNNNNNNNNNNNNNNNNNNNNNNNNNNNNNNNNNNNNNNNNNNNNNNNNNNNNNNNNNNNNNNNNNNNNNNNNNNNNNNNNNNNNNNNNNNNNNNNNNNNNNNNNNACAAGGAUACAAUAAGCCUGAGAUGUAUAUAGAAAUACAAUUAAACUGAUGUAUAUAAAAAAAUACAAUAAUCUCUGUGUAUGAAAAUACAAUAACUGCUGUGGGAGUUUCUCUAACNNNNNNNNNNNNNNNNNNNNNNNNNNNNNNNNNNNNNNNNNNNNNNNNNNNNNNNNNNNNNNNNNNNNNNNNNNNNNNACUUUGGCUCAUAUGUUUUAAAAACAAACUUCUUUCUUUAGUUUGAGAUAAUUGCUUAAAACCUAGCCCAAAGGCUCUCUUGGAAUCAAUGUUCCCUUUACUUUGCUCAAAUGUGAAAACAUUUAUAAACUUCUUUGGGAAUACUUAGUUCCCUAAUAGCUUUUGAGAAAUGAACUCAACUUUAUGCUCUUGACUUACUUGAAACUUGAGACUCUUUACUUAGCUUGAAACUUUAAACUCUUUACUUGACUUGACACUUGAGUCUAAAAAUGAAGUUAAAACGUUCAAUAAAGACUCUUGAACAACUUUGCAACUUGCUUACCUUGCUUAACUUCUAAGCUUAACUCUUAAUUUCUAACUUCACUUGACUUCUAACUAACUCUCCUUGAAUUGGAAUUUUGGAUUCAAGGUGUUUGAUCACAUGUUAUGGAUGAGUUCUUGACUUUUAGAAGUACCUUGGAGUGUUGGAAACAACUAGGAAACAUAGGUAUAAUACCUAGGAACAUGUAUGAAAAAAGUGGUGAAUGAAAGGGAAGGAUUGGUGUCCUUGGCACUAGGAGAGGUGCGACAGCCCAGCCCUUUGUUCCCCAAAAAUCCGACUUUUUCCCCUUGUUUCUUUCCAAUUCUAAACCCUCUCAACCUCAAGGUUUCAGCAACAACACUUAGAAUCAUAAAGACCCUUAUUAUACAAUAGAUUCAACUCAAAAAUCACAGCCGGAAAUUUGUACUAAACCAGCAAGAACUUCAACACAACACCACUACAACUUCAACAACCAAUAAAUCUUCUCUUGGAAUUAAAAACGAGUUGGUGUGUGGGGGUAUGAACCAACCAACNNNNNNNNNNNNNNNNNNNNNNNNNNNNNNNNNNNNNNNNNNNNNNNNNNNNNNNNNNNNNNNNNNNNNNNNNNNNNNNNNNNNNNNNNNNNNNNNNNNNNNNNNNNNNNNNNNNNNNNNNNNNNNNNNNNNNNNNNNNNNNNNNNNNNNNNNNNNNNNNNNNNNNNNNNNNNNNNNNNNNNNNNNNNNNNNNNNNNNNNNNNNNNNNNNNNNNNNNNNNNNNNNNNNNNNNNNNNNNNNNNNNNNNNNNNNNNNNNNNNNNNNNNNNNNNNNNNNNNNNNNNNNNNNNNNNNNNNNNNNNNNNNNNNNNNNNNNNNNNNNNNNNNNNNNNNNNNNNNNNNNNNNNNNNNNNNNNNNNNNNNNNNNNNNNNNNNNNNNNNNNNNNNNNNNNNNNNNNNNNNNNNNNNNNNNNNNNNNNNNNNNNNNNNNNNNNNNNNNNNNNNNNNNNNNNNNNNNNNNNNNNNNNNNNNNNNNNUGAUUUGUGAAAAGACCAAAAUGCCCUUAAAUUUUCCGGACGGAUUCCCUGCCAACUGCCCAACUUUCAAAGGGCAUAACUCGCUCAUACGAACUCGGAAUCGAGUAAUCUCAAUGGCGUUGGAAAGAUCAUUCCACAAGCUUCGCAACCAUAACUGGAACUACUCCUAACUCAUCCUGAGCUAGGAGUUACGACUGACUCAAAGUUGGCCAAAAUCACUGAUUUCCACACUUAGCCAAAUUUUCCAGAUUUUGAAUUUUUCCAAAUUUCCAGAUUCUGGACUGCCAAAUUUCCAGAUUUUAAAUUUUUCCAAAAAUGACUAUUUCCAAAUUCAAGCUUCUUCAUAUUCAUUUUAAAUUGUCGGAUGUUACACGUAAUCAUCAAAUAUAUUAAGGACUACAAAGUUAAUCACUCGGAAGCCAAAGAGGAAGUGAAGAACAUUUGUAAAUGCAGCUAGCACUUUGCAUAUAAGAUAGUAUGGGCAGACACUUGAAACAACAAGUUUGCAAGAGAUUGAAUGAGAGACCAUACCUGAUAUAACUUUUCCAGCAAAUCCUUCACAAACUUUGUACAGGGGCAACAGCAUAUGAUAUGCAAAGCUUUGGCAAUCAACCUCACCUUCAGGGGACAACAAUCUACUCUGAUCUAUAAGCUUUGGUGAAACUGAUUUGAAACAAUUGAAGAUAAUUCUCAUCUGCAAAAAAUUGUGCACAUUCCACAGCAUGAGAACAGGCACUCCUAGCACCAUAUAUGGGAGAGUAAGGCACAAAAUAUUUUUUUUGGAAAACAACGAGAAGGUAAAUUACAUAGCAAUGACUAGGCUAAGAAAUUUUUUGCGAGUCGAGCAAACAGAGAUAUCCUUAAUUAAUCACCCACCUGCAUAUCCUCCACAUGAAGGGAAAUCUUUCCCAUUGUCUUAAGCAAAUAAGAAAUGACCAAGUAGCGCUGGCCUUCAUCUUCUUGAUCGCUAAGGUCAGACACAAGAGACAGAUAGAUGUUUUUCCCUUUCCUUGAAUCAAGCUGUUGAAAAGCCUUAAGCAGAAGACCCUGCUCGUCAUGUUCAAUGGUGGACCAGAACUCAUCUUUACAUUCAUUUUUUCCUAAGAAUGAAUGCAGAGAGCAAAUUGAAAAGACAAGAUUUUGAGUAAUGAGAUCACUGGCAGCAUCAUCAGUCUGCAGCACCUUCAGCUGACAACAAAGAGAAGUAGCUACGAAGAAAAGUCUACUUGGCCUCAUCAAAAAGUAAGUUUCUUGUGGCAGUUCAAGGUUUUCUUUCCAAGCCUCAGUCACAGUGGCAAAGUAGCAAGCCACAAGACGGUUUGAUAUGUUGCGCAACCACAGAUGCGGAUGCAAAAGCAACUCACAGAUUGCUUCCCACAGAUCCUAUGAGAUGUCAAUAAAAAUAAUAGUCAGAAAACAAAUAUGAAUUUAUCCAAAGAACAGGACAAGUUAUUGGCAAUCUGGAAAUGGGAGUGUGGUAGCUGUGGAGCGUACUUUCCCCAGUACAACAAUAACAUACCUAGUGAAAUCCCACUAAGUGGGGUCAGGGGAGGGUAGAAUGUACGCAGUCCUUACCACUACCUCGUGGAGGUAUAGAGGCUGUCUCCGAAAAACCCUCGGCUCAAGUGCAUCAAACCAAAGUAAAAGUAUCCUCUUCAAACUUUAAGCCCAGUAUACUAUUCAAACUCUAAGCACUUGAUUUUCAAAUACUUCUUAACUUUACACCUAGUCUGUAGUUGCAACUAUCUUUUGGCAUGCUGCCUAAGUUUGAGGACUAAAGCAAUUUCACCUAAGUGGUUGUAGCCACACCAAAAAGUAAUUCAUUUCUUAAAUCUAUCACAAAGCAAAAUGAGGUCCAGCGGUUUUCACAUAAGUCCCCUCGUACAUAUGCUAAGUAGGACAUAUUAUGGAUGACUUGGUUUUAGCCCUAUAUUUUAAGACCAUAGCUAAAAUAAUGAAAUACANNNNNNNNNNNNNNNNNNNNNNNNNNNNNNNNNNNNNNNNNNNNNNNNNNNNNNNNNNNNNNNNNNNNNNNNNNNNNNNNNNNNNNNNNNNNNNNNNNNNUAUCAUAAUCAAGAUCUCCCAACUCUACAGUAGACGUGGCAUUCAAUUCACGAAGAAGAUUUGCCUGUAUGAAAUUAAGAAGUGUUACACGUCAACAAACACCUAAAGCAACAAGUUCAAAAGAAAACUAGAUGGUCUAGUAAUACCGUAGGAUGUACAGAAGAAUCAUUCCCUGCGACAGCAUCAAGAACAUCACAAAUAGAAGUACGGACAUCCAAGCCAGCAGAAAUUACGAGUGGAGAAACAGAUUUGACGGUCUUUUUACUGCUUUCACUACCCAAUGGUUCUACAAUAUCCUUAAUAAUCUGUAAAGUGCCUACACAAAUCUCUGCAACCAGAAAGAAAGGUAAUCUUAGAAAAAGAGCAAGGACAUGAGACCAAACAGGUCCACCAAAACUGUAAGACAAAACUCAGAGACUCUGACCAGGGUCUUUGGAUCUCUUUGACAGAAGCGGAAGCAAGAUGUCAAGAAACUUCCUUGCAGCCAAUGGUCCCUUUAUGUGCUUCGAUAAAAGCUUGAAGACAUUGAGCUCUUUUUCCCCAGGAUAUUUGACAAUCUUCCUGGAAAAGUGAAUACAUCAGUUAAGAGGAGAACUGAUGCUAGUGCAUCUCAUAUAACACUUAAUUACAUAAAGAGCAUGCUAAGUCCACUUAGCCAUAUAGGGUGGAUGACACAUACACAAGAAAAUAAGUAAGAAACCUACUUAUUCUCCGGAGAAGCAUUUUCCAAAAAGACAUUUUAGAGGCAUUGUUAUCAUUUGGUAGAUCCAGGUCCAUGACCUAUUUCGAUGGAACACAUUUUCCAUGGUACAUAACACAUUCUCAGAAUUUCGCUCAUUGAUAUCCAUUGAUACGGACCUCACUUGUGGGAUUUCACGGGAUGUGUUGUUGCUUGAGUUGAUAUGCCCUGCUGAAAGUCUUUGUGGGUAGGAGGGAGUAUAAGAAUGAUCCACAACUCCCGGCAAAGUUGUAACAUUACCAUGUUGAUCUAAAUGUAAUAGAUGUACUCCUAUCUUCUUUACUAUGGCUCCGCCACUGCUAUCCUCUACUCUUAUCUGUUCCCCGCCUUUGAUGUUCAGGCCUUUAAAAGGUCUAUCAUUUGCGUAAGGUAAGUAAUAUACACAUGAUACUUCUCCGUGACCAUCAGGUAUAUCAAAAGGCAAAAUCCAUGAAAAACUCUUUUUAUGGGAAACAGUAACAACAAGGUGUUCAAGCUCAUGUACAUCGCAAAGGCGGCAAACAAACCAGAGAACCAUUCCUAAGAACUUGUUAUUAUGUACUGUGGGCAUAGUCAAACAGAUAGAUGGAGCUGUUACUUUAUUGCUGCACCAAUCUGGAAUCUCAUUGCUUUCGAGAUUAAUUUGUAACAACGACUUCAUCAGACAAAUUAAGACACAAUUAGAUCAUUAAUUAUUAAUGUGAUACGAGAGAGAGAUCAGAGAGGGAGAAGGACUAACCUCAUACCAUUGAUAUUUUCUACACGAAAUUGAUAGAGCAGGGGCACUAAAGAAGCCUUCACUGAAUGGAUUCUGCAGACAAGUACAAUUAUUCAUGUCCAUCUUCUUUAUUGAAGGGAGGUUGUCCAACCCUGUAAUCUUGACCAGUUUUUGGCAAUUCCUAAGUUCAACAACUCUAAGGUACUCUAAAUUUGAUAUUGAUGGGAGUGUUUGAAGGUUCUCACAAUCAUUCAAAUACAAGGACUUCAACCAUGGUAACUUGGAAAAAUCAAAGGGUAGAUAGAGGAAACUGUUGCCGCUCAAAUCUAAAUGAUAUAAGUUGGAUAAACUCCCAAUAUCCCUAGGAACAUCAGCCUCCGAGAAACCACAAUAUGGAAGGCAUAGAAUCGAAAUAAAUUUUGACAAGGAUACUAUGGGGCGUACUCUUGUUUGAGAAAACCUCCUUUUGGUCUCUAAGUAUUGACCUCCCAUUUCCAAUUCUAUAAGAUUUCCUAGCAUUUCAACAGAUCCAGGCAAUUCUUUUAUACCUGUUUCACCUGCAUUAAGAAAUCUUAGGCUUUGCAUAUCUCCAAUGUCAACUGGCAGUGUUUGUAAAGAUGAGCAGUCAUUAAUGCUCAAGUAUUCAAGGGAUUUUAGCUGGCAUAUGCUGCUCGGAAGAUCCGUAAUCUUUUCGCAACCAUUCAAUUGAAGAUCAGUUAGUCUGUCCAAAUUUCCUAUUGAUGGAUGGAUCUCCUUAAGACUUGAGCAAUUGUCAAGCCACAAAGUCUCGAGACUUCUUGAACCACAGAAGUUUGGAGUUCUUCUGAG
rnacentral:lncRNA from 1 species